GUGCUUGCUUUGGUAGCACAUAUACUAAAACAAUGCAGAGAUUAACAUGGCCCUUGUACAAGCAUGACAUACAAAUUUUAGUGAAUCAUUCACAUUUUU
ensembl:snRNA U6 U6 spliceosomal RNA